rnacentral:lncRNA from 1 species
CACACUUGUUUUCUUUUCUUAUAACUACUAAUUAAAGCUGCAAGCAAUGCAGACUUUUCCUUCAAACAUUACCAAUGCAAUGCUGAAAGGCUUAGGAAUAUGAAAGAAAACGGUCAGAAUAUGAUAGAACAAAUUAAGAAAACAAAAUCUGACCUUUAACUGGUUAACUGGUUCAUGUAAGUUCAGAAACAUAGUUUCGAUGACAUAAAGUCCUCCAAUUUUUGAAUAAGGUUUGGCCACAUCUAAAACCAACAACAAAUUCAACACCGUUUAGAAUCAAAUACAAUGCAAAAACUCAGAAAAUAUAUAAAAAAUCAAAGAGAGAGAAACUGAUGGAGUACUAGGAAGGUAACAAGAAAUCAAUACUCAAACUUUUGUAUGUAGUAAUUGAAAUAGAAUAAAAGUGGAAUUUAAGCAAACCUUAAAAUUUUUCCUCAAUUUCAUUCUUGAAUUGAGAAAGAUGAGUUUGGAUUGAGAAAAAUUAUAACCCUUUUUCUUGAUUUCAUCUGCUGCAAUCCUAAACAGUGUUUGAUGGAUUAAAGUUCGGAU